AUCCUACUCCCUUCGUUCGGAAUUACUUGUCGCACAAAUGGAUGUAUGUAGAUGUAUUUUAGUUUUAGAUACAUCCAUAUCCGAGACAAAUAAUUCCGAACGGAGGGAGUAUAAU
rnacentral:pre_miRNA from 1 species